rnacentral:ncRNA from 1 species
ACUUGCGCUUCCAUUUCGCGGUCGGAGAGGCCACCGCAAAUCUGGAUAAUACGGUCAGACAGCGUCGACUUACCGUGGUCAAUGUGAGCUAUGAUGGAAAAGUUGCGUAUGUUCUUCAUAUAGUGAGAUUUUUGUGCCUUAAAAAUGCUCUGGAGGCCUCGCGCAACGCGCUGUACUGAGCCUGAUAAUAGUGGCUGUCUUCUGCCUGAAACGCUGCAUUCUACACUACAACCAGAAAGCGGGGAAAUGCUCAUCCUGCAAGCAUAGUCGCAACUUAAUGCUGCGAUAAACCGAGCGGUAACAAAAAGAAAAGCCGGCGAUUACCGGCUUUCAGAGGAAGGCGUUUCAACACGCAAAAUAUCAGGCGGUAAGCCCACGCUCAGGAUGACGGGCUGCCAGGAUUCCCGCGAGCUCAAUGUCGGCGAAAAACCACGCGCCAGCAAAAAUCCGCCCACGCCGCCAAGGGCCGCGCCGCACGCCGCAGCGAUGUCGCUGCCGAAAAGCGCCUGAAAAACCGCGGCCAUGAUGAACAGCCCCACAAGCGGCGACAUAUAAACCAGCAGCGCUGAGCCGAGCAGGCUGCUUUCCGCAAUGCCUAACUCAACUUUUUGCCCUGGCGUUAACGGUUUUUCGCUCGGCACGGUAAUGUAGUGCGUCGUCUGCGGGCCAAGUUUAUUCAGCACGCGCGUACCGCAGCCCGCACGGGAAGCGCAACUGCUGCAAGAAGCCUUUACGUCACAGCUUAAAACGGCUUCGCCGCCCUGCCACGAUACCACCGUGGCCCAUUCUUUAAUCAUUGUGUUGCCUUGAAUUUAAUGCUGCUGGCAAUACGC